rnacentral:rRNA from 1 species
UACGUAGGGUGCAAGCGUUGUCCGGAAUUAUUGGGCGUAAAGAGCUCGUAGGCGGUCUGUCGCGUCGGCUGUGAAAUUCCGAGGCUCAACCUCGGGUCUGCAGUCGAUACGGGCAAACUAGAGUAUUGCAGGGGAGACUGGAAUUCCUGGUGUAGCGGUGAAAUGCGCAGAUAUCAGGAGGAACACCGGAGGCGAAGGCGGCUUGCUGGGCGUGAUCUGACGUGAGGCGCGAAAGCGUGGGGAGCGAACAGG